AUGUCUCAUACUUGUAUGCUUUACUUCGAAGCCCACCAACACCAUGCCAAAUUUCAGGACAACCAUGCCAGUGUUAUGAGGAAAGAAGAAGCAGCAGUAGGAGCAAAGCAUGUUGAAGCCAACAAAAAACAAGUCAAAUUUCAGGACAGCCAUGCCAAUGAUAUCAAGAUAGAUGAUGUGAGUAAGGAUGUGGAUACAGUGGCUUUGGACUUCAUCAACCGUAAGCACACGUCCUGGGCACUCCAGAAGAGCACAACCAUGUAUCCAGCUUCCUAA
rnacentral:rRNA from 1 species